CAAAAGAGCACAAAAAUAAAAAUAAACGAAGAAAGUACUAAUAACUUAAAUUUAAAUUUAUAUGUAUAUUUAAAUAUUAGAAAAAUAUUGACAAAUUACUUUUACAUUUCAUUAGUUGUACAUAUAUAUCUUCCGAUCGUGGAAUCAAAAUAAAAUUUAAUAAGAGUUUAAUGAAUAUGCAUUGACAAUAUAAAAUAGUUUAAACUUUUAUCCAAUAGAAACUCA
rnacentral:lncRNA from 1 species